AACAAGAUAUCUUGUACAAACAAGAUAUCACUACACAUCAGAGUAGUUCUUACUUCACAGAGCUAAUGCAAGCCACACACUUGCUCUGAAGUAGAGAUUGCCCUUUGUCUUCAUGAUCAAUGACAACUUCCUUCUGCUGUGAAGCCUAGUCAGAGAUCCUGGUGAGGAAAGAAGCAUCACUUUUAGAGUCCCAUUCCCCUGACGUUUUUUAUAGUAUUGUUCCCUAGGCGCUUGUUCCCUAGGCACCAUUGCAUGAGGAAUACAAGUCAAAGUGACUUACGGUCCCCUAACUGUACAGUGCCCAGUAUCUGUCGUUUUCAGCCUUCACAUGUGGCGUGCCACACAGCCAUAAAUGACGGGAGUGCCAAGGGCUUGAAUAUGAGUAAUUCCUUUGACUACCGAGGCUCUCCUGUGGAAGAGGCCAGCUGGCUGUCAGAGACCACUGCCGAGUCCAACUUAAAGGACAAAGAACUGGACGAACUGAAGAUCAUCAACCGCAGGAGAAAGUGAAGAGCCUGGACAGGCCCGCUAGAUUAGAAGUCACCACUGACCCCUGGGGAGGAGGAUGUGGCAGAGCCCUUUGAUUUUCAGUCAAAUUAAUAGACUUGCCCUGAGAGUGAGCAUUCACAGACCCUAGCUCCCUUGGACUUGGGGACAGGGAAGUGGCAUGGGAUGGAAGAAACCAAGAUUCCAAGCCAGGGCCAUAGCUUGGGAGGCACCACAGGCACACUGCCCAGGGUCUCAAUCUAAAGCAAACCCCAGGCAGGUCUAGAAAAUAGUUAGCCGGGGCUGGAGAGAUGGCUCAGAGGUUAAGGACACUGCCUGUUCUUCCAGGGGUCCUGAGUUCAAUUCCCAGCAACCACAUGGUGGUUCACAACCAUCUAAAAUGAGAUCUGGUGCCCUCUUCUGGCAUGCAGGCAUACAUGGUGGCAGAACACUGUAUUGUAUAUGUAAUAAAUAAAAUCUUUAAAAAAAAAAAAAGAAAAUAGUUAGCCCUUGGCUGCUGUCUGCAGGUGACAGUAUACAGCUGUCUGUUGAAAUAGGAGCGGCAGGGCUGCGUCCCCAGCACCCCAGCUGCCUGCUAGCUUAUGCCCCGAAAUAACAACACACAAACUGUAUUCAUUUAUGCACUGCUUGGCCCAUUUCUAUCUAGCCUCUUCUGGGCUAAUUCUUGCACCUGGACUAGCCCAUUUCUAAUAAUGUGUGUAAGCACCCCAAGGUGUGCUUACCUGGAAGAUUCUAGCCUACAUCCAUCCUGGGUCGGGGCUGCCUGGGAGAGCAGAGCUGUCCAGUCUGAGCUCACUUCCUCUUCCUCCAAGCAUCCUAUUCUGUUUACUCCUCCCACCUAUGUUUUAACCUAUCAGGGCCAAGGAGUUUCUUUAUUGCUUAACCAAUGAAAUCAACAGAUUGAUAUAUGACAGUCCCACAUCAGCUGUCCAUUGUCUCAGAGUUGCUGUGUUCAGACAGUCGGCAGUUCACCUCUUCACACUGGGGUCUGGCACCAGUUCCAGUUCAUAGCAAUUCACACUUCAGUGGCUCUGCAUUCUCUGCCUUCGAAGAAUCCCCACCCCCAAGUCCACAGCCUCUUCUGCCAUCACCUUCCCAGCAGCAACCUCUGCCCUCAUAGCACACUGUAAUUUACUCUGCUUUCUGUUUCGACUAUUUUUAUUUUUAUUAAAUGGUGUUCAAUAAU